GUGGUCGAAUUUGGGAUCAAUUGGAGGAAGUUUAGCGCAUGAAAUGACGAAUUAAAGGAGUGUUAGGGGCUUAAAUCAAGGUUUCAGGACUAAACUGCGAGAACCAGGGACCUAUUUGUAAUUAUUUUUGAAAGGUGGAAGGGCGUAUCCGUGAAAAUUUUCUGAGAGAGGUGGGAGGGCCGGUUUGUAAAUAGAAGACACUAGGGGGUUAGAUCAAAAUGGAAGGGGAUUUCCCCCCUUCUUCUUCCUUGGGCCGAGUCAGAGAGAUGGGAAGAGAGGGAACCGGUAGGGGGGCCGGUCCGGCCGGACCUGGCCGGCGGCAGGCCGAGUGGGGGAGAGGUAGAGGAGAGUGAGGGGAUCCUAUUUUGACCCUUACCGUGGGUGGAUGGUGGUGGAGGAAGGAGCGCCGGGCGCGGCAAGGAGGCGGCGGCGGGGUUACUAGCGGCGGCUCGUGGAGCGAUAGGGGGAAAGGGGGCGGCGAGCUGGGGGCACGACGAGGUGGUGGCGUGGGGCGUCGGGCCUGGGCCCUUUUAUAGGAGGCGGGAGGAGCGGACGUGCGGCCGGAGGUGAUGAUGGCGGCCGGACUUCUGGCCGGUGGCGUGCCGGGGUGGACGUCCUCAUGGAUGGCGUGGUGGCUCGGUCGACGAGGAGCACAGGGAGUCCACCGAGGUGAUGGCCGGCGUGUCGUGCGGUGGGACGGCAGUGACCGGUGACUGGCGG
rnacentral:lncRNA from 1 species